rnacentral:piRNA from 2 species
UAGGACUCUUGGCAGGAAGACUUAC